ACCCUUAGGAGCUUUUCAUGUGGUUAAAUUAAGAUAUUCACUUGCACACAUCUACUACACCAUCCGCCACCAUUCAUUAAAAUUGCUAAAAAAUAUUAUCACUCACUGUCCCAAGUGUUGUUAUUCUCUCUCUCCAAAAUUAUUCAAUGCAGAAGAGGCAUGAGUUGUGCAAAAAUAUGCGAGGAAAUAAAAAGGGGCAAGUGCCCGGAACCUCAAAAAAGAAAGAAAAAGAGUGAGACGAGAGGAAAAAAUGGACAAGUGUCCGGAGUAGAAUUAGGGGUACAAAGAUGCCCAC
rnacentral:lncRNA from 1 species